rnacentral:tRNA from 1 species
GCCGGGCUAGCUCAGCGGUAGAGCGCUGCCCUGAAGAGGCAGGCGUGUCCAGUUCGACUCUGGAGCCCGGCA